rnacentral:rRNA from 1 species
AUUGAACGCUGGCGGCAUGCCUUACACAUGCAAGUCGAACGGUAACAGGCCGCAAGGUGCUGACGAGUGGCGAACGGGUGAGUAAUGCAUCGGAACGUGCCCAGUCGUGGGGGAUAACUGCUCGAAAGAGCAGCUAAUACCGCAUACGACCCGAGGGUGAAAGCGGGGGACCGUAAGGCCUCGCGCGAUUGGAGCGGCCGAGGUCAGAUUAGCUAGUUGGCGGGGUAAAGGCCUACCAAGGCAACGAUUUGUCGUUGGCCUGUGGGGACGACCAGCCACACUGGGACUGAGACACGGCCCAGACUCCUACGGGAGGCAGCAGUGGGGAAGUUUGGACAAUGGGCGCAAGCCUGAUCCAGCAAUGCCGCGUGCAGGAAGAAGGCCUUCGGGUUGUAAACUGCUUUUGUCAGGGAAGAAAUCUUCUGGGCUAAUACCCCGGGAGGAUGACGGUACCUGAAGAAUAAGCACCGGCUAACUACGUGCCAGCAGCCGCAGUAACAC